GACGAACGCUGGCGGCAUGCUUAACACAUGCAAGUCGAACGAAGAGCGAUGGAAGCUUGCUUCUAUCAAUCUUAGUGGCGAACGGGUGAGUAACGCGUAAUCAACCUGCCCUUCAGAGGGGGACAACAGUUGGAAACGACUGCUAAUACCGCAUACGAUCUAAUCUCGGCAUCGAGGAUAGAUGAAAGGUGGCCUCUACAUGUAAGCUAUCACUGAAGGAGGGGAUUGCGUCUGAUUAGCUAGUUGGAGGGGUAACGGCCCAACAAGGCGAUGAUCAGUAGCCCGUGUGUGCGGAAGGCAGGCCAACUGGGAACGGAGACCCGCCCCAGGCCCCUAAGGGGGGCAGGAGGGGGGAAUCUUCCCAAUAGGUGGAAGGUGUGACGGGCCAACGCCGCGUGGGUAUGAACGGCCUUCGGGUUAUAAAGCUUCGUUAAUCGGGACGAAGGGCCUUCUUCCAAAUAGUGAGAAGGAUUGGCGGUCCCGGUAUAGAAAGCCACGGCAAACCACGA
rnacentral:rRNA from 1 species